rnacentral:rRNA from 1 species
GAUGAACGCUAGCUACAGGCUUAACACAUGCAAGUCGAGGGGCAUCAGGAAGAAAGCUUGCUUUCUUUGCUGGCGACCGGCGCACGGGUGAGUAACACGUAUCCAACCUGCCCUUUACUCGGGGAUAGCCUUUCGAAAGAAAGAUUAAUACCCGAUGGCAUAAUGAUUCCGCAUGGUUUCAUUAUUAAAGGAUUCCGGUAAAGGAUGGGGAUGCGUUCCAUUAGGUUGUUGGCGGGGUAACGGCCCACCAAGCCUUCGAUGGAUAGGGGUUCUGAGAGGUUGGCCGGCCACAUUGGGACUGAGACACGACCCAG